rnacentral:lncRNA from 1 species
AGAAAAUGUUGUUAUUGCAAUUUUUCGCGUCAAAAAAGUGCCAGUUGGAUGGCUGCUGGCUGGUUGCUGGCUGGAUCACUUCAAUUCUUCUCAGAAAGUGACUCAUGAACUUCAGCUUACUCCAAUGUUAGUCUCAGUUUUUCAAGCAAAGCCACAGAA